rnacentral:lncRNA from 1 species
AAUUGUUAUUUACAGGUAAGGUUAAUUCUGUUACUGWAAGUGAGUUAAUGUGAAUUGGUCUUUUUGCCUUUUUUUAGGAUCAUGAUGUACUGAUGAAACUCAAUGAUAAUUGGAGGAAAGUUCAGAAGCUUUUCCCUUUUCAGCCUAAUGAUCUGAUUUCUCCAGCGACGUCGAGAAAGAUAAAGAAGCAAAAACAAAAUGCUAAAGAUUUUAUGAUCUCUGCAAGGCAGGCUCUCCCCUCAGUUCACACAUUCACAACUCUCAGUGACAGUGAUGAGAGGUCUGCCAUGGAUCAGAGGUAUCUCCAACACAAACAGAAACGGAGGAUUUCUGCAGAACCAUUAUGAAGGUAUACAAGCUCUCCUGUCCUUUCUAGAGAUGUAUACAGCGGCACUGGGUUUGAUGAUAAGGUGGGUGCUCGAGUGACCUUCCUGGCUCCUUGCGGCUCGGUGUUGCGCUCAUGCAGCAUUCCCAUUCCCUGCUGAUCCUAGAAGCAUCGAAGGACAGCACUGUGACACUGAAUUAGCCCUGCCAUCUGCGGAGUGCAAUAUCCUGCCCCUCACUGUGGGUCAUUCUGUGAAUCUCGGACAAAGACGCCGGAAUCUUGAAGUGAGAAAAAAUGAGAUAAUCUGUAUCACCUGCUAAGCAGGUCUCACUCUGAAGUUACAGCAAAAUGUUUAAUAUCCAUUCUCAGAUCUAUUUAUUUUUAUACUAUUGGUAUACUGGAACUUUGGUUUUUCUGUGUAGUCUUCUGUACAAACUUACUCUGGUUUGCAGGCAAAACACAAUUCAACAACUGAAAAAUCCAGAAAAGAAUGUACUUUGACAUCUGCGUAACUACCAACCUCAUUUGGAGCAAUUCAGUAUGUCUAUACUUUUGAAUAGUGAUGUACCAGCAGCACCCACUCAUCUGCUACAUGCUUUUCUUUGACUUUCAAAAGUCCUAUCGAUAAAGUCAAAAGCUUUUUCUUGUGAAGACCGUAAUAACAUUGUUUUCACUAAGGUAAAGGCAGCGUCACAGUAAAGUAAAUUCACUAAAGAAAAUAAAAAGAUGGGCACAGAGAAGAGAAAAGAAAGA